rnacentral:rRNA from 1 species
CGGCGACCGGCGCACGGGUGAGUAACACGUAUGCAAUCCACCUGUAACAGGGGGGUAACCCGGAGAAAUCCGGACUAAUACCCCAUAAUAUGGGCUCUCCGCAUGGAGGGUCCAUUAAAGAGAGCAAUUUUGGUUACAGACGAGCAUGCGCUCCAUUAGCCAGUUGGCGGGGUAACGGCCCACCAAAGCGACGAUGGAUAGGGGUCCUGAGAGGAAGGUCCCCCACAUUGGAACUGAGACACGGUCCAA